rnacentral:rRNA from 1 species
AGAGUUUGAUCAUGGCUCAGAUUGAACGCUGGCGGCAUGCCUUACACAUGCAAGUCGAGCGGCAGCGCGGGGGCAACCCUGGCGGCGAGCGGUGAACGGGAGAGUAAUACAUCGGAACGUGUCCAGUAGCGGGGGAUAACCUGUCGAAAGAUAGGCUAAUACCGCAUACGACCUACGGGUGAAAGCGGGGGACUCUUGGGCAACUGAGGGCCUCGCACUAUUGGAGCGGCCGAUGUCGGAUUAGCUAGUUGGUGAGGUAAUGGCCCACCAAGGCGACGAUCAGUAUCCGGCCUGAGAGGGCGGACGGACACACUGGGACUGAGACACGGCCCAGACUCCUACGGGAGGCAGCAGUGGGGAAUUGUUCACAAUGGGCGCAAGCCUGAUGACGCAACGCCGCGUGGAGGAUGAAGGUCUUCGGAUUGUAAACUCCUGUUUGCCCGGGACGAAAAGCUCCGACCUAAUACGUCGGAGUCUGACGGUACCGGGUGAGGAAGCCCCGGCUAACUCUGUGCCAGCAGCCGCGGUAAUACAGAGGGGGCAAGCGUUGUUCGGAAUUACUGGGCGUAAAGGGCGCGUAGCGCCUUCUAAGUCGAACGUGAAAUCCCUGGGCUCAACCCAGGAACUGCGUCCGAUACUGAAGCUUGAAUCCGGGAGAGGAUGCGGAAUUCAGGUGUAGCGGUGAAAUGCGUAGAUAUCUGGAGGAACACCGGUGGCGAAGGCGGCAUCCGUGGASCGVWAUYGASGMUGAGGMKMGAAAGCGWRGUCAGCAAAACGAUGAAUGCUUGUGUGCGGGUAUCGAUCCUGCCGUGCGAAGCUACGCAUUAAGCAUUCCGCCGGGGAGUACGGUCGCAAGGCUGAAACUCAAAGGAAUUGACGGGCCGCACAAGCGGUGGAGCAUGUGGUUCAAUUCGACGCAACGCGAAGAACCUUACCUGGGCUCGAAAUGCAGAUGACAUUCGGCGAAAGCCGGCUCCCCGCAAGGGCGUCUGUAUAGGUGCUGCAUGGCUGUCGUCAGUUCGUGUCGUGAGAUGUUGGGUUAAGUCCCGCAACGAGCGCAACCCUCGCCCUUAGUUGCCAUCAUUCAGUUGGGCACUCUAGGGGGACUGCCGGUGAUAAGCCGAGAGGAAGGUGGGGAUGACGUCAAGUCCUCAUGGCCCUUACGGGCUGGGCUACACACGUGCUACAAUGGCGGUGACAGCGGGAUGCUACUCCGCAAGGGGAAGCCAAUCCCAAAAAGCCGUCUCAGUUCGGAUUGUCCUCUGCAACUCGAGGGCAUGAAGUUGGAAUCGCUAGUAAUCGUGGAUCAGCAUGCCACGGUGAAUACGUUCCCGGGCCUUGUACACACCGCCCGUCACACCAUGGGAGUUGGUUCUACCCGAAGACGGUGCGCUAACCGCAAGGAGGCAGCCGGCCACGGUAGGGUCAGCGACUGGGGUGAAGUCGUAACAAGGUAACCGUA